AGGAGCCGGGGGAGGCUCCUCUCACCGUUCAUUCAUUCAUUCACGCAUUCAUUCACUCAUCCGUCCAAGAUGUGUCGGGUCAUCUCUCUGUCCCUCGACAGAUGCCUCCCGGCGCCCCUGGUUCUGCAAACACGACAAACCCAGCAUCCCUGCCCUCGUGGAGCUGAGAGUCCAGAGACAGGACAGACGUUCAUCAACUAACUCUCCUAACCCGCAGCCGCAGGCCGAGGUUGGAAACCCACCACUCGCAAACAUUACCCACAUGGAGAGGAGCAGAGCAGGACCAGAUGGUGGAUACGGUUUGACUCGAUCCUGCAGGCAACGGGGAGCCACUGAGCACUCUUGAGUUGCAGAGUCAAGGUGGAUCCCGUCAAGGACAGACGCUGGCAAUGUGGACCCCCCACCCCCACCCCCCGCUAGACUUCCUGGGCUCAGACCUGAGCCUGCUCCUCACUGGCUCUGCGUAACCUUGGACAAAGUCUUUCCCCAUCCAUGCCUCAGGUUUCUU